UCCGCUGCAAAAAAACUGACGCCACGUAGAUAAAAUCCUUCAAAAGGGAAAGUCGGACGGAUUUGCGGUUUUCGUGCGUGAAACGUGCAAUAAAUUGUCCGAAAAUUAAACCGCAACGAAUUACGCGAUCCCAGGGAGUGCAACAGUGGAAACGUUUCGCCAUACGGCUUUGUGAAUGCGACUACCUGUCGCUAUCGACCGCACGACGCGCAAUCCGAGUGCUGGCCGGACACAUCCCACAAUCAAUCACGCAUCGGGACUCCGAGGAACGGUCAUUCAGCAGCAAAUCUCGUUACUCUAAGAUCCAUCAAACGGAGGAGCAUACUGACGGGGAAUCGCACGGUAUCACGAAUCCGGAGCACCUUUUACGUUGGGGUAGCAGAAGAGCCUUCCCAGGAACUUAACCUCACGGCGCGUGAGCUACUGUCAGGUAGCCCUCGGCACGACACAAAGCGAGGCAGCGAAGAUCGUGGCGAAGAAUCUCCGUAGUUCAGGUCCGAAGGAUCCGAGUGAGGUAAAACUGCAAGGGAAAGGAUUUUGGACGGCUGAGAAUGAGGGGACGACAAGCGUGAUAAAGGUGCGCCAAGCCCGAAGAAACUCAGCAGAGGCGGAGCGCACAAAUCGCGGCCGCUCAGUUCUCAGCAGUUGAGGCGAAGCAAAUCAAAGUUUCCCUCCGACGAACAGAACGUAGUAGUGGUCGAAGCACUCGCAGUUCUCCGAUCCCUUGAUACGGACAGGGGUCCCCAAGUCACCUUCGGCGGACAGCAGG